rnacentral:rRNA from 1 species
UACGAAGGGUGCUAGCGUUGUUCGGAAUUACUGGGCGUAAAGAGCGCGUAGGCGGUUGUACUAGUCAGGGGUGAAAUCCCAGAGCUUAACUCUGGAACUGCCUUUGAAACUGUGCAGCUGGAGUGUGUGAGGGGAUAGCGGAAUUCCUAAUGUAGAGGUGAAAUUCGUAGAUAUUAGGAGGAACACCAGUGGCGAAGGCGGCGACCUGGACGGACAUUGACGCUGAGACGCGAAAGCGUGGGGAGCAAACAGG